GAUGAACGCUGGCGGCGUGCCUAAUACAUGCAAGUCGAGCAAACAGACGAGGAGCUUGCUCCUCUGACGUUAGCGGCGGACGGGUGAGUAACACGUGGAUAACCUACCUAUAAGACUGGGAUAACUUCGGGAAACCGGAGCUAAUACCGGAUAAUAUAUUGAACCGCAUGGUUCAAUAGUGAAAGACGGUUUUGCUGUCACUUAUAGAUGGAUCCGCGCCGCAUUAGCUAGUUGGUAAGGUAACGGCUUACCAAGGCAACGAUGCGUAGCCGACCUGAGAGGGUGACCGGCCACACUGGAACUGAGACACGGUCCAGACUCCUACGGGAGGCAGCAGUAGGGAAUCUUCCGCAAUGGGCGAAAGCCUGACGGAGCAACGCCGCGUGAGUGAUGAAGGUCUUCGGAUCGUAAAACUCUGUUAUUAGGGAAGAACAAAUGUGUAAGUAACUAUGCACGUCUUGACGGUACCUAAUCAGAAAGCCACGGCUAACUACGUG
rnacentral:rRNA from 1 species